GACAGAGGGUGCAAACGUUGUUCGGAAUUACUGGGCGUAAAGCGCGUGUAGGCGGCUUGGCAAGUCGGGUGUGAAAGCCCUGGGCUCAACCCAGGAAGUGCACUCGAAACUGGCGGGCUAGAGUAUCGGAGAGGUUGGUGGAAUUCUCGGUGUAGAGGUGAAAUUCGUAGAUAUCGAGAGGAACACCGGUGGCGAAGGCGGCCAACUGGACGAAUACUGACGCUGAGACACGAAAGCGUGGGGAGCAAACAGG
rnacentral:rRNA from 1 species